rnacentral:rRNA from 1 species
GGGCCUUGUUGCUGGUCCGCCGCAAGGUGUGCACUGGUGAUGGGGUCCUUCCUCUCGAAGACUGGGCGUGCUCUUAACUGAGUGCGUUUGGGACUCGGGACUUUUACUUUGAAAAAAUUAGAGUGUUCAAAGCAGGCUUACGCUUGAAUACAUUAGCAUGGAAUAAUAGAAUAGGACUUUGGUCUUAUUUUGUUGGUUUCUAGGACUGAAGUA